GAUUUUGUUUACGUGCGGGACGAUUGUUACAAAACUGCAUUUGUGGCAGUUUGUUGAUUUUUUUAAUUUUCUUUUUUAUUGUUAAAAUAUUAGAUAGCAAUUCAGUGUUUUAAAAGUUGUCGCUUCAUUUUAUAUACAGUUUCGCCAUCUUUCUUCAUUUGUAAAUCCAUUUAUAUCCCUGAAGUCUUCAGAAAGUUGUACGGUGUUGCAACGGAAUUUCGUUCCCAUCUGAUUCCCUGUCAUAAUCAGCUGCUCAGCAACACGGUCUGCCUCUGCGUUCGAAAUCGAUUUCAUCCAGCAAUAAAAACCAUAUGGUGACGUCUCCGCAUUCCUUCAUCUGGUGGAUUCGCUGAACUGUCGAAGCAGCAUGGCGCUACGCCAUGUUACCGCAAGCUUCUUGCGCGCUCGGGAUGUGGCGCUGAGUUUGAAACAGAUUAAUACGUGGCGCAGUGCGUGCCUGUCCACGGAACAUCCGCGCACCGUCGUCCUCGUGUGGCCCUCGCAUUUCUCCCAUUGCGCUGCGUCAGUAUUGUACUCCAGCAAGUCGUCCGGUGAGGGAGGUGUUGAUGGCACCAAGGAUCGUAAGUUAAUGGGGGAGAAGCGAUCAGCUCGUUCGACGAGUGGGGCUGCGUCAUCGGGAUCGAAUGGGGGCGACAACGGAGAUAAGGAUCUACUAAAAUGCCCCAAAUGCGGAGAAACAUGCAUUCAUGUCGAGACUUUCGUUUCGUCGACUAGAUUCGUCAAGUGCGAGAAUUGCCACCAUUUUUUCGUUGUCCUGAGUGAAAUGGAUACGAAGUCUUUUAAGGAUUCCGGAUCUGAGCGUAGCGCGAAAAGGAAGCCCCCGCCUGUCCCUAAGAAAAUCUUCGAUUUUCUCGAUAAAUACGUGGUCGGGCAAGAUCACGCCAAGAAAGUGUUAGCGGUUGCUGUGUACAACCAUUACAAAAGAUUAAGUAAAAAUCUCCCGAAUGCCAAUCAAGCCGUCAGGGCACAGGAGGCCCACAUUGCCCAAAUGGAAAGCCGAUCCGUUAAUGCUCUGACACACAGAGAUCUCCUGCACAUUGCCGGAAUUCAUCCUGGUAGUCCGUUGGGUGCCCAUCUGCAGCAAACGGACGAAAGUCCGCGAGCCUCGAGCAAGCCUAACAGUAUCAACGACGUCAUAGAAUCCGAUGUAUAUGAUAUCAAGCUGGAUAAAUCGAAUAUUUUAAUGGUGGGUCCGACCGGUUCGGGUAAGACCCUUCUCGCGCAGACCAUCGCCAAGUGUCUGGAUGUACCGAUUGCUAUUUGCGACUGCACCACCUUGACACAGGCCGGUUAUGUCGGUGAAGAUAUCGAAUCAGUGAUUGCCAAACUCCUUCAGGAUGCUGGAGGUAAUGUGGCCAAAGCCGAACAGGGCAUUGUCUUUCUGGAUGAGAUUGAUAAAAUCGGAGCGGUACCCGGUGUGCAUCAGCUGCGAGAUGUUGGUGGAGAAGGCGUUCAGCAGGGUCUGUUGAAAAUUUUGGAAGGAUCUAUCGUGAAUGUUCCUGAACGGAACAGUAGUCGCAAAAUGCGGGGUGAUACAGUGCCUGUGGAUACCACUAAUAUUUUAUUUAUUGGGUCGGGUGCGUUUAAUGGUUUGGAUAGGAUUGUGAGUAGGCGGAAGAACGAAAAAUACCUGGGCUUCGGUGCACUACCGACGGAAUCCAAGGGCAGGCGUGCGGCUGCCCUUGAUAGCCAGCGCGAAGGAACAGGCAACGUAGUAGAAGACAAUCAGGAGAAAGAUGCUUUAUUACGCGACGUGGAAGCUAGAGAUUUAAUAGACUUUGGCCUCAUACCGGAAUUUGUCGGUCGGCUCCCGGUGGUUGUUCCGUUUCAUAAUUUAACCGUUGAAAUGCUAAUGCAGAUCCUUACCGAACCUCGCAAUGCGCUUGUACCUCAGUACCAAACUUUGUUCGGCUAUGAUAAGGUGGAGCUGCAUUUUCAGCAAGAAGCUUUGAAAGCCAUCGCCAGCAAGGCUUUAUCCCGUCGUACCGGGGCCCGGGGACUGCGUUCGAUUCUUGAGUUUAUUUUAUUGGACCCGAUGUAUGAUACACCUGGUAGUUCAAUCGGUGCAGUGCAUAUCGAUGAAGAAGUGGUGACGGGAAGGAAGAAACCACAGUAUGUGGUGCGGAAGAGAGACGAUCAAAUGGAGGAGGAGAAAGAACAGAAAGCACACGGUCAGGGAUUUCGUCCGAAAGAACGAGAGAAAAUAAGUAACUAAAAUUUUGGGUUUUUGUUUAUCUGAUUCUUUGUCUUUAAUUUUUUUCUCGGUUGUACAUAGUCACAUGGUAAAACGAAUAGAGUGAUUCCAUUUCUGCAAGGUGUUUAUACAAUUUUGGAUUCAUUUCAUCGGUCUAUUCUUAUGCUGCUGUUGUUGCUUAUAUCGUAUGGCAUUGUAGUCAUAAAUUAAAACAAGGAUGCAUAGAAAUAGGUAACUGUGCAACCAUUGAAUAAAUAGUUGC